UGGGGAUGUAGCUCAGUUGGUAGAGUACUUGCCUAGUACGCAUGAAGUCCUGGGUUCAAUUCCCAGCACCACAU